UUGGGACUGAGACACGGCCCAAACUCCUACGGGAGGCAGCAGUGGGGAAUAUUGCACAAUGGGGGAAACCCUGAUGCAGCAACGCCGCGUGAAGGAAGAAGGUUUUCGGAUCGUAAACUUCUAUCAACAGGGACGAAGAAAGUGACGGUACCUGAAUAAGAAGCCCCGGCUAACUACGUGCCAGCAGCCGCGGUAAUACGUAGGGGGCAAGCGUUAUCCGGAAUUACUGGGUGUAAAGGGAGCGUAGGCGGCACGCCAAGCCAGAUGUGAAAGCCCGAGGCUUAACCUCGCGGAUUGCAUUUGGAACUGGCGAGCUAGAGUACAGGAGAGGAAAGCGGAAUUCCUAGUGUAGCGGUGAAAUGCGUAGAUAUUAGGAAGAACACCAGUGGCGAAGGCGGCUUUCUGGACUGAAACUGACGCUGAGGCUCGAAAGCGUGGGGAGCAAACAGGAUUAGAUACCCUGGUAGUCCACGCCGUAAACGAUGAGUGCUAGGUGUCGGGGAGGAAUCCUCGGUGCCGCAGCUAACGCAAUAAGCACUCCACCUGGGGAGUACGACCGCAAGGUUGAAACUCAAAGGAAUUGACGGGGGCCCGCACAAGCGGUGGAGCAUGUGGUUUAAUUCGAAGCAACGCGAAGAACCUUACCAAGGCUUGACAUCCCGAUGACCGCUCUAGAGAUAGAGUUUCUCUUCGGAGCAUCGGUGACAGGUGGUGCAUGGUUGUCGUCAGCUCGUGUCGUGAGAUGUUGGGUUAAGUCCCGCAACGAGCGCAACCCUUAUCCUUAGUAGCCAUCAUUGAGUUGGGCACUCUAGGGAGACUGCCGUGGAUAACACGGAGGAAGGUGGGGAUGACGUCAAAUCAUCAUGCCCCUUAUGUCUUGGGCUACACACGUGCUACAAUGGCUGGUAACAGAGUGAAGCGAGACGGCGACGUUAAGCAAAUCACAAAAACCCAGUCCCAGUUCGGAUUGUAGUCUGCAACUCGACUACAUGAAGCUGGAAUCGCUAGUAAUCGCGAAUCAGAAUGUCGCGGUGAAUACGUUCCCGGGCCUUGUACACACCGCCCGUCACACCAUGGGAGUUGGAAGCACCCGAAGUCGGUGACCUAACCGUAAGGAAGGAGCCGCCGAAGGUGAAGCCAGUGACUGGGGUGAAGUCGUAACAAGGUAGCCGUAUCGGAAGGUGCGGCUG
rnacentral:rRNA from 1 species